rnacentral:rRNA from 1 species
CGGACGGGUGAGUAACGCGUGGGUAACCCGCCUCACACAGGGGGAUAACAGUUAGAAAUGACUGCUAAUACCGCAUAACCCGAUAGGAUCGCAUGAUCCAGACGGAAAAGAUUUAUCGGUGUGAGAUGGACCCGCGUCUGAUUAGCUAGUUGGUGAGGUAACGGCCCACCAAGGCGACGAUCAGUAGCCGGCCUGAGAGGGUGAACGGCCACAUUGGGACUGAGACACGGCCCAA